GAUCCUGGCUCAGGAUGAACGCUAGCUACAGGCUUAACACAUGCAAGUCGAGGGGAAACGAUAGAGAAAGCUUGCUUUUUCUAGGCGUCGACCGGCGUACGGGUGAGUAACGCGUAUCCAACCUGCCCACCACUUGGGGAUAACCUUGCGAAAGUAAGACUAAUACCCAAUGAUAUCUCUAGAAGACAUCUGAAAGGGAUUAAAGAUUUAUCGGUGAUGGAUGGGGAUGCGUCUGAUUAGCUUGUUGG
rnacentral:rRNA from 1 species